AACGCAUAUGGCACCUUUUGGCGCAUGCCGGAAGGUAUGCCUGUUUGAGAAUCAUUCAUCACCGCUCUGACGGGACAUCCAUCCCGUCGGGACCUGGGCAUUCAGCACUGAUCGCCCCGAAUGCGCGUGCGCGGUCGUGAUAGCAUCGUUUGAUCGACCGGCUGCACUAAACACCUUGUCGAUGAUCUCAAAUCAGGCAGGACUACCCGCUGAACUUAA
rnacentral:misc_RNA from 1 species